rnacentral:rRNA from 1 species
CCUAAUCAUGCAGUCGAGCGGACAGAAGGGAGCUUGCUCCCGGACGUUAGCGGCGGACGGGUGAGUAACACGUAGGUAACCUGCCCCUUAGACUGGGAUAACUCCGGGAAACCGGAGCUAAUACGGGAUAAUAAAGAGAAUCACCUGAUUCUCUUUUGAAAGACGGCUUCUACUUGUCCCUAAGGAAGGGGCCGGCGGCGCAUUACCUAUUUGGUAAGGUAACGGCUUACCAGGGCAACAAUGCUUACCCAACCUGAAAGGGGGACCGGCCACCCGGGAACGGAAACCCGGCCCAAACCCCUACGGAAGGCACCAUUAGGGAACCUUCCCCAUGGGACAAAAUUCGGACGAACCACCCCCCCGGGAUUGAGGAAGGCCUUCGGUCCGAAAAGCUCGGUUGGGAGGAAAAAACAAUUACCGGGUUAACUACCGGUACUUUGACGUUACCUCACCAGAAACCCCGCCUACCUACUGCCAGCAGCGCGGAAUACGUAGGUGGCAAGCGUUGUCCGGAUUAUUGGGCGUAAAGCCGCGCGCAGGCGGCUUCUUAAGUCUGAUGUGAAAUCUCGGGGCUCAACCCCGAACGGCCAUUGGAAACUGGGAAGCUUGAAUGCAGAGAGAAUUGCAAUUCCACGUGUACCGUGAAUGCGUAGAUAUGUGAGACGCAAUGGCGAGCUACUCUCUGUCGGUACUGACCUGAGGC